GUUGCGCCUGGCUUAUAUUCUUCUUGGGAAGGGCUCAAUCAUCGAUUGAAGCAAGCCCAAAGAUCCUGAGAAAGCAAAGCUGGUGCAGACAUCGAGAUGGUUAACUUACCAACCCUUUGCAGCCUUGCAUUGCACUGGAGUCAAAUGGUUUAAUCGAAAUUA
rnacentral:snoRNA from 1 species